rnacentral:rRNA from 1 species
GAUGAACGCUGGCGGCGUGCCUAAUACAUGCGAGUCGAGCGAACAGACGAGGAGCUUGCUCCUCUGACGUUAGCGGCGGACGGGUGAGUAACACGUGGAUAACCUACCUAUAAGACUGGGAUAACUUCGGGAAACCGGAGCUAAUACCGGAUAAUAUAUUGAACCGCAUGGUUCAAUAGUGAAAGACGGUUUUGCUGUCACUUAUAGAUGGAUCCGCGCCGCAUUAGCUAGUUGGUAAGGUAACGGCUUACCACUGCAACGAUGCGUAGCCGCCCUGAACGGGUGAUAGGCCACACUGGAACUGAGACAAGGUCCAGACUCCUACGGGAGGCAGCAGUAGGGAAUCGUCCACAAUGGGCGAAAGCCGGACGGAGCAACGCCGCGUGAGUGAUGAAGGUCUUCGGAUCGUAAAACUCUGUUAUUAGGGAAGAACAAAUGUGUAAGUAACUAUGCACGUCUUGACGGUACCUAAUCAGAAAGCCACGGCUAACUACGUG